CCAANGUAUGCUUUGGAAACUGUUAGACUUGAGUGCAGAAGGGGAGAGUGGAAUUCCAUGUGUAGCGGUGAAAUGCGUAGAUAUAUGGAGGAACNCCGGUGGCGAAAGCGGCUCUCUGGUCUGUCACUGACGCUGAGGCUCGAAAGCGUGGGUAGCGAACAGGAUUAGAUACCCUGGUAGUNCACGCCGUAAACGCUGAGUGCUAGGUGUUAGGUCCUUUCCGGGACUUAGUGCCGACGCUAACGCAUUAAGCACUCCGCCUGGGGAGUACGACCGCAAGGUUGAAACUCAAAGGAAUUGACGGGGGCCCGCACAAGCGGUGGAGCAUGUGGUUUAAUUCGAAGCAACGCGAAGAACCUUACCAGGUCUUGACAUCCCGAUGCCCGCUCUAGAGAUAGAGUUUUUCUUCGGAACAUCGGAGACAGGUGGUGCAUGGUUGUCGUCAGCUCGUGUCGUGAGAUGUUGGGUUAAGUCCCGCAACGAGCGCAACCCUUAUUGUUAGUUGCCAUCAUUAAGUUGGGCACUCUAGCGAGACUGCCGGUAAUAAACCGGAGGAAGGUGGGGAUGACGUCAAAUCAUCAUGCCCCUUAUGACCUGGGCUACACACGUGCUACAAUGGUUGGUACAACGAGUCGCAAGCCGGUGACGGCAAGCUAAUCUCUGAAAGCCAAUCUCAGUUCGGAUUGUAGGCUGCAACUCGCCUACAUGAAGUCGGAAUCGCUAGUAAUCGCGGAUCAGCACGCCGCGGUGAAUACGUUCCCGGGCCUUGUACA
rnacentral:rRNA from 1 species